GCUUCACUGAAGAGUCGUAUGCAGACGAAACGCGCGUCUGGCGUAAU
rnacentral:hammerhead_ribozyme from 1 species